GAGGGUAGAGCUCAGUGGUAAAGUGCGUGCUUAGCAUGCACGAGGUCCUGGGGUCCUGGGUUCGAUCCCCAGUACCUCCG
rnacentral:tRNA from 1 species